rnacentral:rRNA from 1 species
UACGAAGGGGGCUAGCGUUGUUCGGAUUUACUGGGCGUAAAGCGCACGUAGGCGGAUUGUUAAGUUAGGGGUGAAAUCCUGGAGCUCAACUCCAGAACUGCCUUUAAUACUGGCAAUCUCGAGUCCGGAAGAGGUAAGUGGAACUCCUAGUGUAGAGGUGGAAUUCGUAGAUAUUAGGAAGAACACCAGUGGCGAAGGCGGCUUACUGGUCCGGUACUGACGCUGAGGUGCGAAAGCGUGGGGAGCAAACAGG